rnacentral:lncRNA from 1 species
UUCAGGAGUUUACUUCGUUCUUACGUGUCUUGGGGAGUUAUCCUAUGGAUAUGACUUCUUGGUCACCAUCACCAUCCACCAUGUCUUCUUCUUCAUCUUCAUCAUCUUCUACAUUUUCUUUGUAACAGUGUAAUCAAAAGAAAGUGACAAUUCCACACAAAAAAUAUUUGGGAAUGUAAAUCUGGAGAAGAAAGUUAUAACUUGUUUUGAAGAAAAUAGAGAGUUUGUUUAUCACACUGUUUAACGAUUCUCUUUUAGGAGCUUUGAGAAACUAACCUGCAAAUCCUGAUAAACCAAAAAGCCCAAGAAUAUGAAAAGCUCAGAAACAAGCUUUUAACGAGUGGAUCCAAUUUUAGUUGUACCUAACUACGAUAUAGAAUGUGAUUGUGUAGAAGAGGAGAAAGUAGAACAACGUGACGAAGUUCUUAUUUUAAGUUCAUGCUAUAACAAAGUAUCCAAAGUCAUAUAGAUGGUACAAAUCAAAGUAACAAAAAAAGGUUUCAAAAUAAAUUCAAAAAUCUUCUUAUGAGUAAUUUUUGUAAAAGAGAUAGA